AUUCUUUCGCAGAGGCGAUAUCAUAGCCUAUGAGGCCCAGCCGAGGCGUGAUUAUUGCUGGUUGAAAACUUAACCCAAUACCCUGCCAUGGGUGACUUGAAAUAUAGUCAGCCAUGGCAAUUUUUGAUCGUCUCAUAUGAGA
ensembl:snRNA U4 U4 spliceosomal RNA